rnacentral:rRNA from 1 species
UACGAAGGGGGCUAGCGUUGCUCGGAAUCACUGGGCGUAAAGCGCACGUAGGCGGCUUUUUAAGUCAGGGGUGAAAUCCUGGAGCUCAACUCCAGAACUGCCUUUGAUACUGAGAGCUUGAGUCCGGGAGAGGUGAGUGGAACUGCGAGUGUAGAGGUGAAAUUCGUAGAUAUUCGCAAGAACACCAGUGGCGAAGGCGGCUCACUGGCCCGGUACUGACGCUGAGGCACGAAAGCGUGGGGAGCAAACAGG